UGAUUACAGCUGUCUAAAUUGGUUUUCAGAAUUCUGUUAGUGUUAUUUUCUGCAUUUCAAAGUUUAAAAAAGAAAUAAUAGUAAUAAUAAGAAAUAAGCUAACAAUAAAAAAGGAUGAAACAAAAAUUUAUUUAGGUUUUCCAAAAACAAAUAUAUAUCAUUCUUACAAAAUAUAUUUAUAUAUAUAUUUUUUUUGUUAGGUCAGCUUUUCAAUGAAAUGCCAAAAAAUUAAUGUACUUAAAGUAGAUUGCAUAUUGUAACUUAAAUGGCCUAUGGCUAUAAACAGGCUGUUUGUUGUUCAACUUCAAUAAGGAUUAAAGUGGUACUGUAUUGUUAACUGGACUAAAGCUAG